GACGAACGCUGGCGGCGUGCUUAACACAUGCAAGUCGAACGGAAAGGCCCUGCUUUUGUGGGGUGCUCGAGUGGCGAACGGGUGAGUAACACGUGAGUAACCUGCCCUUGACUUUGGGAUAACUUCAGGAAACUGGGGCUAAACCCGGUUGGGGGCUCUUGCGGCUGGGUGGGGGUGGGAAAGUUUCGGCGGUUGGGGUUGGACCCGCGGCUUAUCAGCUUGUUGGUGGGGUAGUGGCUUACCAAGGCUUUGACGGGUAGCCGGCCUGAGAGGGUGACCGGCCACAUUGGGACUGAGAUACGGCCCAGACUCCUACGGGAGGCAGCAGUGGGGAAUAUUGCACAAUGGGCGGAAGCCUGAUGCAGCAACGCCGCGUGCGGGAUGACGGCCUUCGGGUUGUAAACCGCUUUCGCCUGUGACGAAGCGUGAGUGACGGUAAUGGGUAAAGAAGCACCGGCUAACUACGUG
rnacentral:rRNA from 1 species